UAACGCGAAGAAACCUAUCCAGGUCUUGACAUCUUUUGCUAACCUAAGAGAUUAGGCGUUCCCUUCGGGGACGGAAUGACAGGUGGUGCAUGGUUGUCGUCAGCUCGUGUCGUGAGAUGUUGGGUUAAGUCCCGCAACGAGCGCAACCCUUAUUGUCAGUUGCCAGCAUUUAGUUGGGCACUCUGGCGAGACUGCCGGUGACAAACCGGAGGAAGGUGGGGAUGACGUCAAAUCAUCAUGCCCCUUAUGACCUGGGCUACACACGUGCUACAAUGGACGGUACAACGAGUCGCGAAACCGCGAGGUCAAGCUAAUCUCUUAAAGCCGUUCUCAGUUCGGAUUGUAGGCUGCAACUCGCCUACAUGAAGUUGGAAUCGCUAGUAAUCGUGGAUCAGC
rnacentral:rRNA from 1 species